UUUCUCCGCCGGCGACCGGCGCACGGGUGAGUAACACGUAUGCAACCUGCCCUGUCAGGGGGACAACCCGCCGAAAGGCGGGCUAAACCCGCGUACAUGCCACCGGGGCAUCCCGGAGGCAGGAAAGGCUUCGGCCGGACAGGGAUGGGCAUGCGGCGCAUUAGGCAGUAGGCGGGGUAACGGCCCACCUAACCGACGAUGCGUAGGGGUUCUGAGAGGAAGGUCCCCCACACUGGUACUGAGACACGGACCAGACUCCUACGGGAGGCAGCAG
rnacentral:rRNA from 1 species